ACGAGCUACGUGUGUGUAUGGUGUGUAAUGGGGAGUGAUAGAGAGGUAAACGGGAGUACGGGGCGUGAAGCGUGAGUAGGCGGUUUGUUAGGAGAGAUGAGAAAGCAGUGGGGUGAAGCUAGGUAUAGCAGUGCGGACAGGGGAGCUAGAGUCAAGCAGGGGUGGGUAGAAUUACAGGUGUAGCGGCGAAACGCGUAGAGAUCACGAGGAAUACCGGUGGAGAAGGCGGCCCCCUGGACAAAUACGGACGCUCAUGCACGAAAGCGUGAGGGGCAAACAGGAGUAGAUACCCGGGUAGUC
rnacentral:rRNA from 1 species